UGCUGGUGGCGGCUCGCAGAGAGCAGCUGUGUGGCCCAUCAGUCUGUUCCAGUCUGGCCAUUCCUGCGCUUCUGUUCCUGCUCGUUCCCCAUGGAGACACGAGGGAAGCAUCAGUCUCCUAUCUGGGUGUUUUCUGCCUUGUCCAUCUCCUCUCUGUCUCUCACUUUCUCUCUUUUUAUUUUUUAAGUGGAAAAAUCUAGGCAGCCGCCUCCCUGCCCCGCUGCUGCCCCUGGGUGCCCCGACGGCUGGUUCAGGAGCGAAGGGAGAUGUUACUAUUUUUCUAAGGCUGAAAGGGACUGGACCGAAAGCCAGAACAACUGCACCUCACACGCUGCCUCCCUGACUGGGAUUGAGAAUCUGCAGGAGCUGGCUUCCCUGCUGCCUUACCCAGGCAGACUGGACCACUGGAUUGGCCUCCAGAAGGACGCAGGCGGGGUCUGGAGAUGGGUCAAUGGCACCGAAUUUGACCGUCGGUUUGAAAUACAAGGAGGAGCCGACUGCACCUACCUAAAUGAAG